rnacentral:rRNA from 1 species
UACGUAGGGUGCAAGCGUUGUCCGGAAUUAUUGGGCGUAAAGAGCUUGUAGGCGGUUUGUCGCGUCUGCUGUGAAAACUCAGGGCUUAACCCUGAGCCUGCAGUGGGUACGGGCAGACUAGAGUGUGGUAGGGGAGAUCGGAAUUCCUGGUGUAGCGGUGGAAUGCGCAGAUAUCAGGAGGAACACCGGUGGCGAAGGCGGGUCUCUGGGCCGAUACUGACGCUGAGGAGCGAAAGCGUGGGGAGCAAACAGG